rnacentral:lncRNA from 1 species
UAGCAUGACAGGCCAAAUACUAUAAUUGGGACUCAUAUUCCCAUUAGGUUGAAACCUGUCACUUGCUAAACCUAAUCGAACAUUUCUUAACUCAGCUGCAAUGGUAGGAUAACGUCCAUCGAGAGAUUUCCAUUCAAUUGAGUCAGAUGGAUGUCGCAUGACACCAUCUUUAAUAUUUUCCUCCUUGUGCCACCUCAUCUUUUUUGUCGUUUCUUUUGCCAUGUAUAAUCUUUGGAGCCUUGGUUUGAUUGGAAAAUGUCGUAGUACUUUAUGAGCCACUUUCUUGCCUUUAUGUUCUUCCGACUUCC